UACAGAGGUCUCGAGCGUUAUGCGGAAUCACUGGGCUUAAAGCGUGUGUAGGUGGAUCGUUAAGUACCUUGUGAAAUCCCACGGCUUAACCGUGGAACUGCUUGGUAUACUGGCGGUCUUGAGCCAGCUAGGGGCUACCGGAACAAAUGGUGGAGCGGUGAAAUGCGUAGAUAUCAUUUGGAACGCCAAUGGUGAAAACAGCUCGCUGGGGGUUUGCUGACGCUGAGACACGAAAGCCAGGGGAGCAAACGGG
rnacentral:rRNA from 1 species